UGGCUCAGGAUGAACGCUGGUGGCGUGCCUAAUACAUGCAAGUCGUACGCUAGCCGCUGAAUUGAUCCUUCGGGUGAAGUGAGGC
rnacentral:rRNA from 1 species